rnacentral:rRNA from 1 species
UGGGAUUGGGGCAAAUGGGGCCGAAGGCCCUGGUCCAGCCUGCCGCGUGUGUGAAGAAGGUCUUCGGAUUGUAAAGCACUUUAAGUUGGGAGGAAGGGCAGUAAAUUAAUACUUUGCUGUUUUGACGUUACCGACAGAAUAAGCACCGGCUAACUCUGUGCCAGCAGCCGCGGUAAUACAGAGGGUGCAAGCGUUAAUCGGAAUUACUGGGCGUAAAGCGCGCGUAGGUGGUUCGUUAAGUUGGAUGUGAAAUCCCCGGGCUCAACCUGGGAACUGCAUUCAAAACUGACGAGCUAGAGUAUGGUAGAGGGUGGUGGAAUUUCCUGUGUAGCGGUGAAAUGCGUAGAUAUAGGAAGGAACACCAGCGGCGAAGGCGACCACCUGGCCUGAUACUGACACUGAGGUGCGAAAGCCUGCGGAGCAAACAGGAUUAGAUUCCCUG